rnacentral:rRNA from 1 species
GACGAACGCUUGCGGCGUGCUUAACACAUGCAAGUCGAACGGAAAGGCCCUGCUUUUGUGGGGUGCUCGAGUGGCGAACGGGUGAGUAACACGUGAGUAACCUGCCCUUGACUUUGGGAUAACUUCAGGAAACUGGGGCUAAUACCGGAUAGGAGCUCCUGCUGCAUGGUGGGGGUUGGAAAGUUUCGGCGGUUGGGGAUGGACUCGCGGCUUAUCAGCUUGUUGGUGGGGUAGUGGCUUACCAAGGCUUUGACGGGUAGCCGGCCUGAGAGGGUGACCGGCCACAUUGGGACUGAGAUACGGCCCAGACUCCUACGGGAGGCAGCAGUGGGGAAUAUUGCACAAUGGGCGGAAGCCUGAUGCAGCAACGCCGCGUGCGGGAUGACGGCCUUCGGGUUGUAAACCGCUUUCGCCUGUGACGAAGCGUGAGUGACGGUAAUGGGUAAAGAAGCACCGGCUAACUACGUGCCAGCAGCCGCGGUGAUACGUAGGGUGCGAGCGUUGUCCGGAUUUAUUGGGCGUAAAGGGCUCGUAGGUGGUUGAUCGCGUCGGAAGUGUAAUCUUGGGGCUUAACCCUGAGCGUGCUUUCGAUACGGGUUGACUUGAGGAAGGUAGGGGAGAAUGGAAUUCCUGGUGGAGCGGUGGAAUGCGCAGAUAUCAGGAGGAACACCAGUGGCGAAGGCGGUUCUCUGGGCCUUUCCUGACGCUGAGGAGCGAAAGCGUGGGGAGCGAACAGGCUUAGAUACCCUGGUAGUCCACGCUGUAAACGGUGGGUACUAGGUGUGGGGUCCAUUCCACGGGUUCCGUGCCGUAGCUAACGCUUUAAGUACCCCGCCUGGGGAGUACGGCCGCAAGGCUAAAACUCAAGGGAAUUGACGGGGCCCCGCACAAGCGGCGGAGCAUGCGGAUUAAUUCGAUGCAACGCGUAGAACCUUACCUGGGUUUGACAUGGAUCGGGAGUGCUCAGAGAUGGGUGUGCCUCUUUUGGGGUCGGUUCACAGGUGGUGCAUGGCUGUCGUCAGCUCGUGUCGUGAGAUGUUGGGUUAAGUCCCGCAACGAGCGCAACCCUUGUUCACUGUUGCCAGCACGUUAUGGUGGGGACUCAGUGGAGACCGCCGGGGUCAACUCGGAGGAAGGUGGGGAUGACGUCAAGUCACCAUGCCCCUUAUGUCCAGGGCUUCACGCAUGCUACAAUGGCUGGUACAGAGAGUGGCGAGCCUGUGAGGGUGAGCGAAUCUCGGAAAGCCGGUCUCAGUUCGGAUUGGGGUCUGCGACUCGACCUCAUGAAGUCGGAGUCGCUAGUAAUCGCAGAUCAGCAACGCUGCGGUGAAUACGUUCCCGGG